AUGGAAAAGAAAUGCAAAAAAGUAAAAUGGCUGUCUGGGGAAGCCUUACAAAUAGCUGUGAAAAGAAGAGAAGCGAAAAGCCAAGAAGAAAAGAAAAGAUAUAAGCAUCUGAGUGCAGAGUUCCAAAGAAUAGCAAGAAGAGAUAAGAAAGCCUUCUUCAGCGAUCCAUGCAAAGAAAUAGAGGAAAAGAACAGAAUGGGAAAGACUAGAGAUCUCUUCAAGAAAAUUAGAGAUACCAAGGGAAUAUUUCAUGCAAAGAUGGUCUCGAUAAAGGAAAGAAAUGGUAUGGACUUAACAGAAGCAGAAGAUAUUAAGAAGAGGUGGCAAGAAUACGCAGAAGAAGUGUACAAAAAAGAUCUUCACGACCCGGAUAAUCACGAUGGUGUGAUCACUCAUCUAGAGCCAGACAUUCUGGAAUUUGAAGUCAAGUGGGCCUUAGAGAGCAUCACUACGAACAAAGCUAGUGGAGGUGAUGGAAUUCCAGUUGAGCUAUUUCAAAUCCUGAAAGAUGAUGCUGUGAAAGUGCUGCAGUCAAUAUGCCAGCAAAUUUGGAAAACUCAGCAGUGGCCACAGGACUGGAAAAGGUCAGUUUUCAUUCCAGUCCCAAAGAAAGCCAAUGCCAAAGAAUGCUCAAACUACCACACAAUUGCACUCAUCUCACAGGCUAGUAAAGUAAUGCUCAAAAUUCUCCAAGCCAGGCUUCAGCAAUAUGUGAACCGUGAACUCCCUGAUGUUCAAGCUGGUUUUAGAAAAGGCAGAGGGACCAGAGAUCAAAUUGCCAACAUCUGCUGGAUCAUGGAAAAAGCAAGAGAGUUCCAGAAAAACAUCUAUUUCUGCUUUAUUGACUAUGCCAAAGCCUUUGACUGUGUGGAUCACAAGAAACUGUGGAAAAUUCUGAAAGAGAUGGGAAUACCAGACCACCUGACCUGCCUCUUGAGAAAUCUGUAUGCAGGUCAGGAAGCAACAGUUAGAAAUGGACCUGGAACAACAGACUGGUUCCAAAUAGGAAAAGGAGUAUGUCAAGGCUGUAUAUUGUCACCCUGCUUAUUUAACUUAUAUGAAGAAUACAUCAUGAGAAACUCUGGACUGGAAGAAACACAAGCUGGAAUCCAGAUUGCCGGGAGAAAUAUCAGUAAUCUCAGAUAUGCAGAUGACACCACCCUUAUGGCACAAAGUGAAGAGGAACUAAAAAACCUCUUGAUGAAAGUAAAAGAGGAAAGUGAAAAAGUUGGCUUAAAGCUCAACAUUCAGAAAAUGAAGAUCAUGGCAUCCGGUCCCAUCACUUCACAGGAAAUAGAUGGGGAAACAGUGGAAACAGUGUCAGACUUUAUUUUUUUGGACUCCAAAAUCACUGCAGAUGGUGACUGCAGCCAUGAAAUUAAAGGACGCUUACUCCUUGGAAGAAAAGUUAUGACCAACCUAGAUAGUAUAUUCAAAAGCAGAGACAUUACUUUGCCAACUGUCGGUCUAGUCAAGGCUAUGGUUUUUCCAGUCGUCAUGUAUGGAUGUGAGAGUUGGACUGUGAAGAAGGCUGAGCGCUGA
rnacentral:lncRNA from 1 species